rnacentral:tRNA from 1 species
GGCGAUGUGGUGGAAUUGGUAGACACGCCAUCUUGAGGGGGUGGUGGGCUUACGCCCAUGGGAGUUCGACUCUCCCCAUCGUCA